rnacentral:rRNA from 1 species
UUAUCGGAAUGAGAACAAUUCAAAUCCUUUAACGAGGAUCUAGCGGAGGGCAAGUCUGGUGCCAGCAGCCGCGGUAAUUCCAGCUCCGCAGGUGUAUAUCUAUGCUGCUGCGGUUAAAAAGCUCGUAGUUGGAUCUGCGUGCUCGGAACUGGUUGGCUCACUGAGUUCAAACUGGUCUCCGGCGCUUUAUUGGCUGGUUUUCCCUUGAUGCUCUUAACCGGGUGUCUUGGGUGGCUAGCACGUUUACUUUGAAAAAAUUAGAGUGCUCAAUACAGGCGUAAAGCCUUGAAUAGUGGUGCAUGGAAUAAUAGAAUAGGACCUCGGCUCUAUUUUGUUGGUUUUCGGAACGCGAGGUAAUGAUUAAGAGGGACAGACGGGGGCAUUCGUAUUGCGACGUUAGAGGUGAAAUUCUUGGAUCGUCGCAAGACGGACGACUGCGAAAGCAUUUGCCAAGAAUGUUUUCAUUUAUCAAGAACGAAAGUUAGAGGUUCGAAGGCGAUCAGAUACCGCCCUAGUUCUAACCGUAAACGAUGCCAACUAGCGAUUCGCAGGCGUUAAACAACGACCUUGCGGGCAGCUUCCCGGAAACGAAAGUGUUCGGGUUCCGGGGGAAGUAUGGUUGCAAAGCUGAAAAUUAAAGGAAUUGACGGAAGGGCACCACCAGGAGUGGAGCCUGCGGCUUAAUUUGACCCAACACGGGAAAACUCACCCGGCCCGGACACCGUAAGGAUUGACAGAUUGAGAGCUCUUUCUUGAUUCGGUGGGUGGUGGUGCAUGGCCGUUCUUAGUUGGUGGAGCGAUUUGUCUGGUUUAUUCCGAUAACGAACGAGACUCUGGCCUACUAAAUAGUGGGCGGAUUCUUUCUGUCCGCAACACUUCUUAGAGGGACAAGCGGUGUUCAGCCGCACGAGAUUGAGCAAUAACAGGUCUGUGAUGCCCUUAGAUGUCCGGGGCUGCACGCGCGCUACACUGAAGGAAUCAGCGUGCUUUCUGACCUUGCCCGAAAGGGCUGGGUAACCCGAUGAAAAUCCUUCGUGAUUGGGAUAGGGACUUGCAAUUAUUUCCCUUGAACGAGGAAUUCCCAGUAAGUGUGGGUCAUAAGCUCGCGUUGAUUACGUCCCUGCCCUUUGUACACACCGCCCGUCGCUGCCCGGAACUGAGCCGUUUCGAGAAGAACAGGGACCGUCGUUGAAGGGCCUUAACGGGCUUUUCUCUGAUAGAAACUGUU